rnacentral:tRNA from 1 species
UUCAAAGUAGUAAAUUUAAUACGCAAGCUUUAGGAGCUUGAGAUAAGAUAGAGGUCUUCUUUGAAA